rnacentral:rRNA from 1 species
AGAGUUUGAUCAUGGCUCAGAACGAACGCUGGCGGCAUGCCUAACACAUGCAAGUCGAACGAGCUCCUCGGAGCUAGUGGCGCACGGGUGCGUAACGCGUGGGAAUCUGCCCUUGGGUCCGGAAUAACCAGGAGAAAUCCUGGCUAAUACCGGAUGAUGUCUUCGGACCAAAGAUUUAUCGCCCAGGGAUGAGCCCGCGUCGGAUUAGCUAGUUGGUGAGGUAAAAGCCCACCAAGGCGACGAUCCGUAGCUGGUCUGAGAGGAUGAUCAGCCACACUGGGACUGAGACACGGCCCAGACUCCUACGGGAGGCAGCAGUGGGGAAUAUUGGACAAUGGGCGAAAGCCUGAUCCAGCAAUGCCGCGUGAGUGAUGAAGGCCUUAGGGUUGUAAAGCUCUUUUACCCGGGAUGAUAAUGACAGUACCGGGAGAAUAAGCCCCGGCUAACUCCGUGCCAGCAGCCGCGGUAAUACGGAGGGGGCUAGCGUUGUUCGGAAUUACUGGGCGUAAAGCGCACGUAGGCGGCUUUGUAAGUUAGAGGUGAAAGCCCGGGGCUCAACUCCGGAAUUGCCUUUAAGACUGCAUCGCUCGAACGUCGGAGAGGUGAGUGGAAUUCCGAGUGUAGAGGUGAAAUUCGUAGAUAUUCGGAAGAACACCAGUGGCGAAGGCGACUCACUGGACGACUGUUGACGCUGAGGCGCGAAAGCGUGGGGAGCAAACAGGAUUAGAUACCCUAGUAGUCC